CUGAGCUGUGCCAGGGGGCGUUGGCGGCGGGUGCGGGCUGGAGCCUGGGCCGGCUCGUGCAUCCCCGCGUGCGUGGGGCGGAAGGGAAGGGCGCUCCCCCGCUGGGCGGGCUUCCGCGAAUCCCUGACACCUCCGCGGGGAGCCGGCGGCGGCCAAGGUCUCCCGCGCCUAGCGCGUGGGUGCAGGCUUUCCAGGGUGGACUGCGGGAGCGUCUCCCGGGCCAACGGGAAACUAAACUCCCAGAAGUUCACCCCUGCCUGGAAUGUCCCAGAGAGGAAGCGGAUCUAAAUAGCAACAAGAGGGAGCUGUGAUGAAGGAAUGCUUUCCCCUUUAGCGCAGGAUUCGGGAGGAGAGAUCAGUUACAUGUGUGUAAGAGAGAAAAAGAGUCACUGGAAAUUUGGAUUGUCUAAAAGCAGCAAUGUAAUGAGAAUGUCCCUUCCUUCCUCAAAAGGGACCUCUCUCUAGGGCAGCUCACAACAUAGCAGCUGGAUUUCCCUAGAGCAAGUGAUCAGAGAGACAGAGAAAAAGAGAGAGACCAAGACAGAAGCUACAAUGUCUUUUAUAACAAUCUUGGAGAUGACAUAUAAUGACUUCUGUACCUUGAUAAAAUUUGAGUGGGAAUUCCACGAGGGAAUGAAUUCCAGCAGCAGAAAUCAGUGGGGGCCAUCCUAGAGGCUGCCAAACACAACUUAGUGCCUGCAAGAAGCACAAGGACCAGUCUGGGCACUCUCAGCUGGUUGAUUUCCAGAAGAAGAAAAGGACAUCUCUGGUUUUUCAGCUGGAAAGUCCUUCUGGGUCAUCCAGUUCAGCUUCUCCAAGGCUCAAGAGCUACCGUUGCUUGUUUGCCACCUGUGUCAGAAUGAGUGAUGGGAGGCCCACUCAACACCUCCCAGGACCACGCAGCCAGGGCCCUCCCAGGACCACGCAGCCAGGGCCCCCCCAUUACAAAGCCCUGGGGGGACAGGAUGCCUCCCAGAAUGUGGCAGAGAGAAGCCACAAGGGGAUUCUUUCUUUUUCACACCCGCUUUUUCAAAGCGAGGAAAAUCAGAGAGAGGCCCGUCUUAUGCCACUAUCUUCUGUCUGCAGGACUGACUAAGCGAAAUUACGAAUAGGCCAAGAAUAAGCUUUCUUCUGAUUCGUGAACCUGAAUUUCUUCUUGUAGCAUUUGAUUUAUUCAGUUAACAAAAUACUGACCUGCUCUGUUUUUCCUUUACAAUAAGCAGAUAAGUCUCUCCAUAAAAUGUCCUAAAUAAUUAUGCUUUUGAAUUGAUUGUAGCCCUUUACAGGUGACUUUGGUGCAUAUUGGAGUGACUGUAGUUUAACAGCCUCUGUUGGUAAGGACUGUAAUGGAACUUCUGGAUGGAGAGUGAGGGCAGUCCUUCCCCUCCCGCCUUACGUUCGCCCAGCAGGCCUGUCCGAGAAGCUGCCCUUGUAGACCCUUCUCUGAAAACUUCUCUUUGCUUAGUUUUAUGUGAUGGAGAUGCUGAAAUGUCUGGCCAUUUUCAAGGAAGCCAGUGGAGAAGGAGGACUUGCUGCUGCUCAGACGCAGCGUUGGGGGGUGUGCAGGCGACCCACGCAGCCAGCAAGCCCGGCUUCUCUGGCAAAGCAUGUACCCUCAUGAACUGUGCAAUCCCAGGCAGGUCACAAACCUUUCUGAAGAUCAGCUUCCUUGUUCUUUUAUUUAAUUGGGAUCUUCAUAGCUGCCCCACCCACCUUAUAUGGUUAUUGUACAUAUGAAAUGGCAUAAUAUAUGACAAAGAGCUUUGUAGAGGCAACAGGACAUGUAGAUGCAAGAGGUAAUUACUAUGCUGCCUGUCCUUUACUGGAGCCAGUCUGGAGGACUUUAUUUCCCUGGUGAAAAUGUCUUUGUUUUCAAGUUAAACUGGUUAAAUUCCAUCAGGGGCUAUGGGACGAAGCCAUCGAUCUUCAGUUCUCACUCACAAUGGAACAAUAUGUCUUGGAGACAAGUCUGAGUUUUAUCUGUGUACCUACCCGUACCAAAAGAUACUUGUAGACAUAAUGUCCUUGGCUUUGGAAAUCAUUGCCCAAAAAAAGUCUUUUCCUCCAGUUCCGCAGAGCUAUUCUGCACCCACACAGAGCUGGCCGGUGUGCAGCUCCAGUUCUUUUCACGAAACACCAGACACAAGACCUGCUUGUGGUUGAAGAAUAUUUCAGGAAAGACUCAGGGACUUGGGGUGGAGCUGAGAGGCCUUCACUAUACUGACCAGUUUAUUCAUAGAAUCAUAAAUACUAAAGUUAGAAAGUUAUCUGGGCCAAACUCCUCCUUUUAAGAUGAGAAACUUAUGGCUCAAAAUAGAUCAAGUAAGCAAAAUAGGUUAAGCAAUAGGUUAUGUAGUUACUUUUGUAAAACUGAGCUUUUCUGAUUUCCAGGCCAAUGUUCUUCCUGUUACAUUGUUAAUAAUACUAACCACAUCAACAUCUACAAACAACAGCUACUGUUUACUGAGCUAUGACCGUAUGUCAGACAUUAUGCUAAGCUUUUUACAUGUAUUCACUCAUUGAACUUCUGCAACAAACCAGCCAGGAAGAUAUAAUAUUAUUCCUGUUUUACAGAUGAGGAAAAUGAAUCUCAGAAAUAUUAGUUACUUGCCAAGUUCUGAUAUUUGUAUCAGUUCAGAGUGUGGAGAGCAAUAAAGGGUAUGUGCACUGGGUUGCUGCUGGCAUUUACAGAAAACGUUACAUUUAUUUAUUUUUUUUAAUUUAGAGAUGAAAAGUCAUUCCUUAUCCCAAAUAUAAAAGCAGCCUAGAAAAUAUGCUCUGAAGUGAAGCGUCACACAAAACUCAGCCUGAGGAGCAGCCUGACUUUAUAUCAACGGGUUAACUGGAAAUGAGGAUGUGAGGCUUCCACGCCCUUCCGCAUGCCAAACCUUUAGAAUUCUGACAUGAGAUGAGUCAUAAGAGAAAUCUGCAGGCUUUUAGCCAUAAUAGAAACACUCAUUUCCCCAACUGCUUAGCAGCAAAAUAUCAAGACUGACUAUUUUUAUGCGGUAGGAAUGUUAAAAGCAUUUCUCCAGUCUUGGUGUUGCUUUUAACAUAAUUAAACCAACCUUUGCUGCUCCUGCUGUGGUUUCAUUCUAAAGAUCCUACUCUCAGGCUCUUUCUCCUCUUGCUUAAUGGGAGUUAUGAUGAGAAAUUCACCAGGCCUAAGAUCAUCGGCUGCCAAAAUACAUUUGCCUGCUCUUUAAUCUCAACAUCCUUUUUUGCCAACUUCUGUUAAAAAGCAUAACUCCUCUAUGAAGUCUUUCCACACUCUGGUACAAGUGCUAGAGCUUGAAUAUUUAAAAUCCUGAACAUGCACUUAAUUAUAACUCAAAAGAUCAAAGAACAUUUUUCAGAAAUUCUAUCAUCCCUAAAAUGUUAACUUGACAUUAGACAAUGCUAUGGAUGAAUAUCCCAAAAGCACCAGAAUAAGUUCCUGAAAUUUCUCCGGUACCAAAUGAAAGAGAGAAGACAGCAGUCUCUGAAAUCAGCCAAAGGCUUUCCAAGCCCAGAUAGAAACUGGAUGAAACUUGACAAAAAUAAAAGAAAAAAGUCUUAUCUUACAAAAGCAAUUCCAGAGUGACGACUGGCUGUUACUGGAAUACAGGGCAUAAAGUUGCUGGGAAAGAGAAUCACGGUGUUCACUGGACAGGACAGUUAAAGAGGAGCAGGAGCUGUGAUGAGUGGGGUCUACGCCACUGCUCCCGCUUUCCUCGUCUCCAUCCUUCCGUGCAGGUUUCUGUCUGUGCCCAGCAUUUCAACACUUAUAACUUGAGUCCCUAUUACAUGGUAGGUCCUUGGGAUCCAAAGCUGAGUCUGCAAGACUCAUUUUAGGCCAUUCUUCUGUCCUAGAAAACCUUCCCUGAAAUCACUUCCUGCCCUGGCCCAGGGUAAGUACUGUGCCUGUCUGUUUCAAAGCAUCCGUUUGCACCCCCAUAUUUGGCUCUGGUCCCCCUGCACUGUGGUACAACAGUGACUGCUCACCGCCAUGGACUAUUCACCAGCUGCCGGGCUCUGUGCCAAGUGCUGUACCUUCCUGUAAUCCUUACACGGAUGUUUGGUGGUGCGUAUGUGAGCAGAACUCCAUUAUGCUGAGGAGAAAAUUGCAGCUGGGAGAGGUAAAGUAACCUGCCCAAGGCCACAGUUAGUAAAUAGUAGAGCCAGAAUUCAAAACCAGGCAGCUGGACUCCUAAACCUGGGCUCUUAACCACUGAGCUACACAGGGCGAGCUUCUUUCCCCCAGGCCACGUGCGUCAUAAAGGUAUAGGAACACGCCCUCUCUUUGUAUCCACAGCACCUAGCACGAGCCUGGCAUAUAGAAAGCAAAGUUUUUUUGCAUGAAUGUAAAUGAAUGAAUGAGUUGUAGAGGCAAAGAGUGAAAGGGAGGUAAGAAAGUGGGCAGAAGACCAGAGCAAGAUGGCAGACGAGAAACACCGCCAGACAGAGUGUCUCUGCAGAAAAGACAGAUUCUAGCAGAAAUUAG